UUGGGUGCAUUUCCUAUGAGGGCCCUGCCCUUUUUCUGGUGUACUGAUUAAUGUGAUUUUCUCUUCUUCUUCCCCCAAGUUCUAGGGCUGGGGAUGAGCUCACCAGCACCUGUGUGCCAUUCUGAAGACCUACUUCUACCUUCUUUGCUGAGGCUUCCAUCCAGGUGUCCCUCUAUCUUGGAGAUUUGGAAAUGUCUGCUUCAUCCAUAACCCCCACCCUCGGGCCCAGAUCUUGGCCACAUGUCAUCUAAUUUGAGCCCACUUCCAUCAACUGUGGACUGCACUUUGUGCAUGCACAAAUCACCUAACAUGGAAGCACCCACACAAGAGAGGAGAUGGACCAGCUCCUAGGAGAAGCUAUUCCGCAAUCCCCUAUUACAUUGGUGAGAAGAGCCUCUUUCAAAUGGCUCUAUCAGUAGGACAGAUGACAUCUUAAAAAACCACCAGACUGGGACAGCCUCUCUAUCUCUCAGCUGGCACUGGAGUAUUUGGACCCAGACUUGAGCCAUGGUGUCUGUGGAAGUGGGAUUCCAGAGCCUGAGGUGAUGUGGAGAGACAGAUUGUGUUCAUAUAUUUGUUAUGAUACCUUUGAAGUAAAUAUUCAUUUGUAAAAACUAACCUAACUGUUAAAUGCUUAAAUGGAACACCAUUGAUGGAGGUUGGAGGCAAUGGCAGAGACACCAAACACCCCAAACACCAUAAAGGGUACCAGUGAACCCUGGGGGAAUUGCAAAAGAAGAAAGGAAGGAAGGAAGAAAAAGGAAGGAAGGAAGCAAAGAAAGA